CCUACGGGAGUCAGCAGUGGGGAAUAUUGGACAAUGGGGGGAACCCUGAUCCAGCCAUGCCGCGUGUGUGAAGAAGGCCCUCGGGUUGUAAAGCACUUUCAGUGAGGAAGAACGCCUGGUGGUUAAUACCCAUCAGGAAAGACAUCACUCACAGAAGAAGCACCGGCUAACUCCGUGCCAGCAGCCGCGGUAAUACGGAGGGUGCUCGCGUUAAUCGGAAUUACUGGGCGUAAAGCGCGCGUAGGUGGCUUGAUAAGCCGGUUGUGAAAGCCCCGGGCUCAACCUGGGAACGGCAUCCGGAACUGUCAAGCUAGAGUGCAGGAGAGGAAGGUAGAAUUCCCGGUGUAGCGGUGAAAUGCGUAGAGAUCGGGAGGAAUACCAGUGGCGAAGGCGGCCUUCUGGACUGACACUGACACUGAGGUGCGAAAGCGUGGGUAGCAAACAGGAUUAGAUACCCUAGUAGUC
rnacentral:rRNA from 1 species